rnacentral:tRNA from 1 species
GGCUAAGUAGUUUAAUUCAAAAUAUUGAGCUGUUAAUUCAAAAUUGCAAUAAUUUGCCUUGGCUU